rnacentral:rRNA from 1 species
UACGGAGGGCGCAAGCGUUGUUCGGAAUCAUUGGGCGUAAAGCGCGUGUAGGUGGCUUGGCAAGUCGGGUGUGAAAUCCCGGGGCUCAACCCCGGAACUGCAUUCGAUACUGCCUCGCUAGAGUCCCGGAGAGGAGGGCGGAAUUCCCGGUGUAGAGGUGAAAUUCGUAGAUAUCGGGAGGAACACCAGUGGCGAAGGCGGCCCUCUGGACGGUGACUGACACUGAGAUGCGAAAGCGUGGGGAGCAAAC